rnacentral:rRNA from 1 species
UACAGAGGGGGCAAGCGUUGUUCGGAAUUACUGGGCGUAAAGGGCGCGUAGGCGGCGUGUUAAGUCAGCUGUGAAAUCUCCGAGCUUAACUCGGAACGGUCAGCUGAUACUGAUGUGCUAGAGUGCAGAAGGGGCAAUCGGAAUUCUUGGUGUAGCGGUGAAAUGCGUAGAUAUCAAGAGGAACACCUGAGGUGAAGACGGGUUGCUGGGCUGACACUGACGCUGAGGCGCGAAAGCCAGGGGAGCAAACGGG